CUGAGAGUUCAUAGGUUAGAGUUUCUGUACUCAAUUACUGAUCCAAGUAUUUUGAUGUCAUAUCUUUUAUGUAAACAGUGAUUCUCUUAAAGUGACCUGUUACAGUGGACAUGUGAAGUGAACUUUAUUCACACACUAAGUUUAAUGUGUAUAUAUUGUGUAGCUAAAUGGCCAGUAAACAUACAUGGAUUAAAAAAUAAAUAAACCACAAGCACUCACAUGGUUUAACAUGUACUGG